rnacentral:lncRNA from 1 species
AGUAUGGGUCCCAGCUGGAAAUGGAGUAAGGUCGCAGCAAGAGACAGCCAGACAAAUGGAGAUGCAUGGCCUGCUGGAUAGGGGUCUGGCUUAUUGGGGAAGAAGCAUAUUCCGGAAGGACCAAGUUACUGCCUCCAGAUUCCUGCCUUGGCUUUCCUUGAUCAUGGAUUGUUACCUUGUGAACAUGGGAGAGCGGGGCCUAAAACUGAGGAGGAGGUCUAAAGUCUCAUGCAGUAGUCAACUUUAUUCAGUGGCUAUUCCUGGUUGUCAACUUGACUAUAUUUGGAAUGAACUACAAUCCAGAAUUGGAAGGCUCACCAGUGACCCUUAUCUGGAGGCUGGGAGAUAGAAGUUUCUGAUCUGGAUCUUGGUAUGGAGAUCUUGUGGCAUAGUGGCUAUGGAUUCCAGAAGAUUAAAUCUCUGAGUUCAAGGUCAUCUAGGAUUAAAGGUGUGGUGGAACACACCUUUAAUCUGGGCUACACCUUCUGCUGGAGACAAUAUAAGGAUAUUGGAAGAAGGGAGUCUCGCUCUUGCUCUAUCGCCUGCUUGCCGUGUGGGACUGAGUAACUGCUAGAUCCUUGGACUUCCAUUUACAGCUACUACUGAACCAUUGUUGGGAAUUGGACUGCAGACUGUAAGUCAUCAAUAAAUUCCUUUACUAUCUAGA